GGGGGUGCCCGGUUUUGACAGCAGGCAGAGUUUGAUUGUAAGCACGCCGAGCGCUGUGUGGCGGCUCGUAAAUCCCGACGCUCGAACUAUAAAUGGCAAUAACAGCUACGCACUCGCUGCCUAAUUUUCCAGGAAAAUUGGCUUAAUCGCCGGGACCCAGGAGUUCUGGCGACGAGUAUCCCGGAGGGCGGUUCCGCUCCUUAACGGCUCUCCAUACGGGGUAUCAUUCAUUUGGGGAUAGUGCACCGGAAGUCCCGGCCGGUGUGCGAAAAUCAAGGGACUGGGCUCCGGGUUGGGUUGCUGCCUGCCAGACCCGGGGAGGAGGACGAAACGGCAGAUAAGCGUGUAGAAAGCUUUCGGGUUCCCUGUUUGGACGCGGGUUCGACUCCCGCCACCUCCACGA
rfam:Alistipes sp. An66 An66_contig_5, whole genome shotgun sequence.